UGGGGAAUAUUGCACAAUGGGCGCAAGCCUGAUGCAGCCAUGCCGCGCGUAUGAAGAAGGCCUUCGGGUUGUAAAGUACUUUCAGCGGGGAGGAAGCGAGUAAAGUUAAUACCUUUGCUCAUUGACGUUACCCGCAGAAGAAGCACCGGCUAACUCCGUGCCAGCAGCCGCGGUAAUACUGAGGGUGCAAGCGUUAAUCGGAAUUACUGGACGUAAAGCGCACGCAGGCGGUUUGUUAAGUCAUAUGUUAAAUCCCCGGGCUCAACUUGGGCAGCGCAUCUGACAUUGGCAAGCUUGAGUCUCGUAGAGGGCGGUAGAAUUCCAGGUGUAGCGGUGAAAUGCGUAGAGCUCUGGUGUGAUACCGGUGGCGAAGGCCUCCGCCUGGACGAAGACUGACGCUCAGGUGCGCAAGCGUGGGGCGCAAACAGG
rnacentral:rRNA from 1 species